rnacentral:rRNA from 1 species
CCCAGUGACGCUUUUAAACGGCCGCGGUAUCCUAACCGUGCAAAGGUAGCAUAAUCAAUUGUCUCUUAAAUAGAGACUAGAAUGAAUGGCUAAAUGAGGACUAAUCUGUCUCUUACGGACCAACCAAUGAAAUUAAUCUUUCAGUACAAAAGCUGAAAUAAAAACAUAAGACGAGAAGACCCUGUGGAGCUUCAAACCAAACACACCCUGCAUGCUCCUCAGGUUUUUAGUUGGGGCGACUUCGGAGUACAAUAAAACCUCCAAAAUCUUUUAUCUUCAAGAUUAACAAACCAAAAACUUUAUUAGACCCAGCAAUGUAUAACAUUGUCUGACCACUGAACCAAGUUACCCCAGGGAUAACAGCGCCAUCCCCUCCUAGAGUCCAUAUCAACAAGGGGGUUUACGACCUCGAUGUUGGAUCAGGACACCCCAAUGGUGCAGCCGCCAUUAAAGGUUCGUUUGUUCAACGAUUAAUCAGUCC